UACAAAGGAAUUGACGGGCCCGCACAAGCAGCGGAGCGUGUGGUUUAAUUCGAUGUUACACGAGAACCUUACCAGGGUUUGACAUGCAAGUGGUAGGAAGCCGAAAGGUGACCGACCCUUCGGGGAGCUUGCACAGGUGCUGCAUGGCUGUCGUCAGCUCGUGUCGUGAGAUGUUCGGUUAAGUCCGCUAACGAGCGCAACCCUCGCUGUGUGUUAUAUGUGUCACACGGGGACUGCCGGUCUUAAGCCGGAGGAAGGUGGGGAUGAUGUCAAGUCAGCAUGGCCUUUAUAUCCUGGGCUACACACACGCUACAAUGGCCAACACAAUAGGUUGCUAAGCCGCGAGGUGGCGCCAAUCCAUAAAGUUGGUCUCAGUUCAGAUUGUAGGCUGCAACCCGCCUGCAUGAAGAUGGAGUUGCUAGUAACCGCAGGUCAGCUAUACUGCGGUGAAUACGUUCCCGGGGCUU
rnacentral:rRNA from 1 species